rnacentral:rRNA from 1 species
GUUGUAAGGUUAAGAAAUUAAGCGUACACGGUGGAUGCCUAGGCAAUCAGAGGCGAAGAAGGACGUGUUAAUCUGCGAAAAGCGACGGUGAGCCGAUAAAAGGCGCUAUAGCCGUUGAUGUCCGAAUGGGGAAACCCAGUGUAGGUGACUACACUAUCAUAUAAUGAAUUCAUAGUUAUAUGAGGCGAACCGGGAGAACUGAAACAUCUAAGUACCCCGAGGAAAAGAAAUCAACCGAGAUUCCCUAAGUAGCGGCGAGCGAAAGGGGAGGAGCCCAAGCGGGUAGCAUGAUGUAUUAGUGGAAGCGUCUGGAAAGUCGCACGAUAGAGGGUGAAAGUCCCGUACAUGAAAAUGCAUGAUGUGGAAGCUUAUAGAGUAGGGCGGGACACGUGAUAUCCUGUCUGAAGAAGGGGGGACCAUCCUCCAAGGCUAAAUACUCCUGAUUGACCGAUAGUGAACCAGUACCGUGAGGGAAAGGCGAAAAGAACCCCGGGAGGGGAGUGAAAUAGACCCUGAAACCGUGUACGUACAAUCAGUGGGAGCUGUUGCCGUUGGGUAAUAGUGACUGCGUACCUUUUGUAUAAUGGGUCAGCGACUUAUAUUCUGUAGCGAGGUUAACCGAAUAGGGGAGCCGAAGGGAAACCGAGUAUUAACUGUGCGUUAAGUUGCAGGGUAUAGACCCGAAACCCGGUGAUCUAGCCAUGGGCAGGUUGAAGGUUGGUUAACACUAACUGGAGGACCGAACCGACUAAUGUUGAAAAAUUAGCGGAUGACCUGUGGCUGGGGGUGAAAGGCCAAUCAAACCGGGAGAUAGCUGGUUCUCCCCGAAAGCUAUUUAGGUAGCGCCUCAUGAGUAACUGUUGGGGGUAGAGCACUGUUUCGGCUAGGGGGCCAUCCCGGCUUACCAACCCGAUGCAAACUCCGA